ensembl:lncRNA
CCUGUGUUAAAAUUUCUCUGCUAUACAAAACCUACCAUGAGCUGUAGCUCUCCUUUCUGUUAUGUACUCCUCUGAGCAUGUUUACUACUUAUGGCAAAGUAGUACUGAAUAUCUUGCUGUCAUGUUGGGUCACAGGGCAAACGAACAGCAAACAAAUGAGAAAGCAGAAGCAGAUCAAAACCAAGAGUCAGUGUAUGUAUGUCUGAUGUUGUACUGACUGGAAAUGAUUCCAAAAGUCAACAUAUCUCAUCAGAGAUCCCAGUGCCCGCACGUUGCUAUCUCAUGGUUUGCUCCCGAUGUUUGGAUUCAAGCAUCAAGAGUGCAGGAAAUGAAUUUCAGUAGAGCUGCAGUGAAAGUAGAACAAAGAGAUUGCAACAAACUUCCUGCCACAUACGAAAAACUUCUGCAAUAAUGGCCUUGUUUGCAUGACAUGAUUUUGAGGAAAACCCUUCAUAGCACGAGGGCAAAGUGUCAGUAGUUGAACACUUGGGCACCUCUCUAAGACCUAAGAUGUCUUGCACAACAGUAAGCCAGGGCCCCCAGCAUAAGAAAGACAUAGAACUGUGGGAGCAAGUCAAGAGGAGGGCUACAGAGGUGAUCAGAGGGGUAGGGCAACUUCCCUAUGAAGAAAGGCUGAGGGAUCUGGGCUUGUUUAGCUGGAGAAGAGAAGGCUAUGGGGAGACCUCACUGUGGCCUUCCAGUUCUUUAAAGGGAGCUUAACAACAGGAGGGAGUGCGACUUUUUUACAUGGCCUGAUAAUGAGAGGACAAGGAAGAAUGGUUUUAAACUAAAAAGGGGGAAACUCAUAGAUGUUCGGAGGUGUUUUUUACUCAGAGGGUGGUUAGGCACUGGAACACGUUGCUUUGAGAAGCUGUGGGUGCCCCAUCCCUGGAGGCAUUCAAGGCCAGGUUGGACGGGGCCCGGGGCAGUCUGAUCCGGUGGGUGGCAGCCCAGACCGUGGCAGGGGGCUGGAACUAGAUGAUCUUCAAAGUUCUUUCCAUCCCAAACCAUUCUAUGAUUCUAUGAUUCUCCGAAUACAUUUCUGUCUCUGUUUAUCCUAGCAAGAGAUUUUCCCCACAGACCUUCCCUACUAGUCUCUAAUGUCUCCUCCAAGAGGAUUGCAAUUAUUCUUAAAAGCAAAAACUAAGCAAUCUUUUAUUAUUAUUAUUAUUUUACCGAGAAAGAUUGGGUCCUCAACUACCGCCUAUCACAGCAGUGGGGUAUUUCACCCAGGGAAUAGAGGAGUUGUAGUUAUGCACUUCAGCCCCAGAAGAGGUUCAAAUGCACAUCUUCCCUAGGAUAAGAGAGCCCCAGCAACAAGCAAGAAGGAAUUCCUUCAGGCAGGGCUCUGAAGGCCCUUCCUCGCCAUUGCUCCUGGCACCUCUUCCUAGAUCCCACCACCCUACACAGAAAACAAAAGGACACUGAAACCACAACCACUUUGACCACCCACGGGGGAGACAGAAGUGCUCUGAGGGAAAUUCAAGAAGGAUCUUCGACCAGGCACCGCUGAAGCUAAGAUUUGUCAAGUCAUAACUUCAACGCUCUGCAGAGCGUUUGUUGUUUAAGACCGUAUACAGGAAAUCUGAGCAGUAAAUGUUCUCCAUCUUUGAUCAAUGCGCCAGCGUGCUGCUGUGAAGUGAAACAGCGUAGGCUGGCAGAUGAGAGUUUUCCCCAGGGGCAUUCUGUAGGGAAC